rnacentral:ncRNA from 1 species
CAACCUGAGCUCAGUCGUGUAUUACCCGCCGAACUUAAGCAUAUCAUUCAGCGGAGGAAAAGAAACUAACUAGGAUUCCCCAAGUAAUGGCGAAUGAAAGGGGAAGAGCCCAGCGCUGAAUCUCUCGGUCUUAGGCCGCUGAGAACUGUAGCGUAUAGGUGUGACUGUCCUGCUAUAUUGCAUUUCCGAAGUCUCUUUGAUAGGGGCCAACAUCCAGAGAGGGUGCGAGACCUGUACGGAAAGUAGUAUAGUUGGUAUGGUUACUCCUUGGAGUCGGGUUGCUUGAAAGUGCAGCCUAAAGUUGGUGAUAAACUUCAUCUAAGGCUAAAUAUCGACGCGAAAUCGAUAGCAAACAAGUACCGUGAGGGAAAGUUGCAAAGAACUUUGAAGAGAGAGUUCAAGAGAACGUGAAAUCGCUGAAGUGGAACCGGAGAGAGUUAACAUAACUUGGUAGCUAUAUCCUCUAAAGUCGCUUAACUGUGGCUCUGGGGGGUGGACGCUACCUGUUGUUGCACUGACUGCGUUGAUUGUGCUUUCCGAACAGUAUAGUGUUGCCCACUUUGUGGUGUCUUGCUUUCUGGGAGGUUUGUCAUAAUUAACGUAAAGCCAAUUCCCUUUGGAGUCAGUGUGAAAGUUAACCACCUUUCCGACCCGUCUUGAAACACGGACCGAGGAGUGUAAUUUAUAC